rnacentral:rRNA from 1 species
UACGGAGGGGGCUAGCGUUGUUCGGAAUUACUGGGCGUAAAGCGCACGUAGGCGGCUUGGUAAGUUAGAGGUGAAAGCCUGGAGCUCAACUCCAGAAUUGCCUUUAAGACUGCCGAGCUAGCAGGUGAGAGAGGUGAGUGGAAUUCCGAGUGUAGAGGUGAAAUUCGUAGAUAUUCGGAAGAACACCAGUGGCGAAGGCGGCUCACUGGACCGGUAUUGACGCUGAGGUGCGAAAGCGUGGGGAGCAAACAGG